GGCUCGGUUGCUUAGUUGGUAUAGCACUUCAAGAGUCGUGGGUUCGAAUCCCACCUGCGCAU
rnacentral:tRNA from 1 species